rnacentral:rRNA from 1 species
UACGGAGGGUGCUAGCGUUGUUCGGAAUCACUGGGCGUAAAGGGCGUGUAGGCGGUCUGCUAAGUCAUGUGUGAAAUCCCUCGGCUUAACCGAGGAACGACGCAUGAAACUGGCAAGCUAGAGUACCAAAGAGGGGGGUGGAAUUCCCGGUGUAGCGGUGAAAUGCGUAAAUAUCGGGAGGAACACCGGUGGCGAAGGCGGCCCCCUGGUUGGAUACUGACGCUGAGACGCGAAAGCGUGGGGAGCAAACAGG